rnacentral:rRNA from 1 species
GACGAACGCUGGCGGCGUGCUUAACACAUGCAAGUCGAACGGAAAGGCCCUUCGGGGUUCUCGUGCGGCGAACGGGAGCGUAACACGAGGAUGAUCUGCACCGCACUUUGGGAUAAGCAUGGGUUACUGGGUCUAAUACUGAUACGGACCACGCGCUUCUGGUUGUGUGGGGGGAUGGUUUGGCGGUGUGGGAUGGGCACGCGGCCUAUCAGCUUGUUGGUGGGGUAGUGGCCUACCAAGGCUACGACGGGUAGCCGGCCUGAGAGGGUGACCGGCCACACUGGGACUGAGAUACGGCCCAGACUCCUACGGGAGGCAGCAGUGGGGAAUAUUGCACAAUGGGCGCAAGCCUGAUGCAGCAACGCCGCGUGAGGGAUGACGGCCUUCGGGUUGUAAACCUCUUUCGAUUGUGACGAAGCGCGAGUGACGGUACCGAUAGAAGAAGCACCGGCCAACUACGUG